rnacentral:rRNA from 1 species
UACGUAGGGUGCAAGCGUUGUCCGGAAUUAUUGGGCGUAAAGAGCUCGUAGGCGGUUUGUUGCGUCGGCUGUGAAAUCCCGAGGCUCAACCUCGGGUCUGCAGUCGAUACGAGCAAACUAGAGUGUUGCAGGGGAGACUGGAAUUCCUGGUGUAGCGGUGAAAUGCGCAGAUAUCAGGAGGAACACCUAUGGCGAAGGCAGCUCGCUGGGACGGUACUGACGCUGAGACGCGAAAGCGUGGGGAGCGAACAGG